GGGUUGUGGCUCAGUGGUAGAGUGCUUGCCUAGCAUGCACAAGGCACUGGGUUCAAUUCCCAGCAUAACCCA
rnacentral:tRNA from 1 species